GCACGCCGGGGCGUCCUCUGGGAAGUGGGAAGCGCUGCGGGGCCUGGGUCAACGCGUUGGGAUAGGCGGGAAGGCCAGGCGGCGCCGGGCCGUGGGCGCUGCAGGAGGCCCCUGGGCGGGCGGAGAUCGCAGCGGCCCUGCUAGGACUCCUUGCCUGCUCCUGGGAGCGCUGAUGCCCAUCAUCUCCCUGAAUUUCUGUGCCCUCUCUUCUCUUGUGUCAGUGGUUACGGCCAAGUUCAGACACCCCGGCCCUGCUCCGGAAGAGCCCUGGUCUCCGUGCCCCCACGGCACUGUCUGUAGACACUGCGCCACUCUAGCCCUCCAGGAGGAAACGUGGUGUGGGAGGGAUUAACAGACCUGUGCUAAUCAGAGCCGGGAAAGAUGGAACGAGGAGAGUGAGCUUCCUCCACCCACACCCGUAUCCUAAUGUGCUGUCUCUCUAUCCAGAACAGAUCUCGGCCCCUUUCCAAACACUCCUGAUGCCUCAUUUGCCUCUAUCCUCUUUUCGACCACCUUUUCUGGGGCUGAAGCCCUCACGGGGCCUCUCCAGGUUCCAUCCCGUUUCUACACAGUCGGAACCCCAUGGAUCUCCCAUCUCCCGGAGGAACCGUGAAGCCAAACAGAAGCGCCUGCGAGAGAAGCAGGCGACUCUGGAGGCUGGGAUAGCAGGGGAGAGCAAGUCGCCUGCAGAGUCCAUUAAGGCCUGGAGUCCUAAGGAGGUACUAUUGUAUGAAAUCCCUACAAAACCCGGUGAAAAGAAAGAUGUCUCGGGGCCCCUGCCUCCUGCAUACAGCCCCCGAUAUGUUGAGGCUGCCUGGUACCCGUGGUGGGUACGAGAGGGCUUCUUCAAACCAGAAUAUCAGGCCCAGCUGCCCCAAGCUACAGGGGAGACCUUUUCCAUGUGUAUCCCACCUCCCAAUGUCACGGGCUCCCUGCACAUCGGCCACGCACUCACGGUGGCCAUACAGGAUGCCCUCGUGCGCUGGCAUCGAAUGCGUGGGGAUCAAGUGCUGUGGGUCCCUGGUUCCGAUCACGCGGGAAUCGCUACACAAGCUGUAGUGGAAAAACAACUGUGGAAGGAACAGGGAGUGAGGAGACAUGAACUGAGCCGGGAGGACUUCCUUAGGGAGGUGUGGCAGUGGAAGGAGGCGAAAGGUGGAGAGAUCUGUGAGCAGCUGCGAGCUCUGGGUGCCUCCCUGGACUGGGAUCGAGAGUGUUUUACCAUGGAUGCUGGCUCCUCAGCGGCUGUGACUGAAGCUUUUGUGCGACUCUACAAGGCGGGGUUGCUGUACCGGAACCGUCAGCUUGUCAACUGGUCAUGUGCUUUAAGAUCAGCCAUCUCGGACAUUGAGGUGGAGAACCGGCCGCUGCCUGGCCACGCAGAGCUUCGACUGCCUGGCUGCCCCACCCCUGUGUCUUUUGGCCUCCUGUUUUCUGUUGCCUUCCCCGUGGAUGGAGAGCCUGAUGCAGAGGUUGUGGUAGGAACCACGAGACCAGAGACACUGCCUGGGGACGUGGCUGUGGCUGUUCACCCAGAUGACUCCCGUUACACGCAUCUACAUGGGCGACAGCUUCGUCACCCCUUGAUGGGGAAGCCUCUCCCCCUCAUCACAGAUUAUACUGUUCAGCCACAUGUGGGCACAGGGGCCGUGAAGGUGACUCCAGCUCACAGUCCUGCUGAUGCUGAGAUGGGGGCCCGACAUGGCUUGAGCCCCCUGAACGUCAUUGCAGAGGAUGGGACCAUGACCUCCCUCUGCGGGGACUGGCUGCAGGGUCUUCACCGGUUUGUGGCCCGGGAAAAGAUAAUGUCUGUGCUGAGUGAACGGGGCCUGUUCCGGGGCCUCCAGAACCACCCCAUGGUACUGCCCAUCUGCAGUCGUUCUGGGGAUGUGAUAGAAUACCUGCUGAAGAGCCAGUGGUUUGUCCGCUGCCAGGAAAUGGGGGCCCGAGCUGCUCAGGCUGUGGAGUCGGGGGCCCUGGAGCUCAGUCCUUCCUUCCACCAGAAGAGCUGGCAGCACUGGUUUGCCCACAUUGGGGACUGGUGUGUCUCCCGGCAGCUGUGGUGGGGCCAUCAGAUUCCAGCCUACCUGGUUGUAGAGGACGGCGCACAGGGUGAAGAAGACCGUUGGGUGGUUGGACGGUCAGAGGCUGAGGCCAGAGAGGCAGCAGCAGAACUGACAGGGAGGCCAGGGGCAGAGCUGGCCCUGAAGAGGGACCCUGAUGUCCUGGACACAUGGUUCUCUUCUGCCCUGUUCCCCUUUUCUGCCCUGGGCUGGCCCCAAGAGACCUCAGACCUUGCUCAUUUCUACCCGCUGUCACUUUUGGAAACGGGCAGUGACCUCCUGCUGUUCUGGGUGGGCCGCAUGGUCAUGUUGGGGACCCAGCUCACUGGGCAGCUGCCUUUCAGCAAGGUGCUUCUUCAUCCCAUGGUUCGGGACAGGCAGGGCCGGAAAAUGAGCAAGUCCCUGGGGAAUGUGCUGGACCCAAGAGACAUCAUCAGCGGAGUGGAGAUGCAGGUGCUGCAGGAAAAGCUGAGAAGUGGAAAUUUGGACCCUGCAGAGCUGGCCAUUGCGGCUGCGGCACAGAAAAAGGACUUUCCUCAUGGGAUCCCUGAGUGUGGGACAGAUGCCCUGAGAUUCACACUCUGCUCCCACGGAGUUCAGGGGGGCGACUUACGCCUGUCUGUCUCUGAGGUCCAGAGCUGCCGACAUUUCUGCAACAAGAUCUGGAAUGCCCUGCGCUUCAUCCUCAAUGCCUUAGGGGAGAAAUUUGUGCCUCAACCUGCUGAGGAGCUGUCUCCCUCCUCCCCCAUGGACGCCUGGAUCCUGAGCCGCCUUGCCCUGGCCGCCUGGGAGUGUGAGCGGGGCUUCCUCAACCGAGAGCUCUCACUUGUCACUCACGCCCUGCACCACUUCUGGCUCCAUAACCUCUGUGACGUCUACCUAGAGGCUGUGAAGCCUGUGCUGCGGCACUCGCCCCGCCCCCUGGGGCCCCCUCAGGUCCUGUUCUCCUGCGCUGACCUUGGCCUCCGCCUCCUGGCCCCAUUGAUGCCCUUCCUGGUUGAAGAGCUCUGGCAGAGGCUGCCCCCCAGGCCUGGUUGCCCCCCUGCCCCCAGCGUCUCGGUUGCCCCCUACCCCAGCGCCUGCAGCUUGGAGCACUGGCGCCAGCUGGAGCUGGAGCAACACUUCUCCCGGGUCCAGGAGGCAGUGCAGGUGCUGAGGGCUCUCCGAGCCACGUACCAGCUCACCAAAGCCCGGCCCCGAGGGCCUGGUAGACCCCCAGAUCCAGCUAUCUCUGUUAGCUGCCCGAAGGCACAAGUUGCAGAAGCAGCUUGAUGGCCUCAUAGCCAGAACCCCAUCAGAAGGGGAGGCAGAGACUCAGAGGCAACAAAAGCUUUCUUCUCUCCAGCUGGAAUUGUCAAAAUUGGACAAGGCGGUUUCUCACCUCCGGCAGCUGAUGGAUAAGCCUCCAACCCCAGGGAGCCUGGAGCUCUAACUCAUCAUCCCCAUCAGUUUUCCUCCCCCUCAGACCUGUCUUUGAGGACAAACAUUUGUCAGCUGUCAGGAUGCAGUGGGAUGUCAGAGACUAUGUGGCCCAUCGCCUUCAUUUCAUAAAUGAGGAAACAGACUGGCUUGGUCGUUGCAGUGACCGUGGUGUCCUUGAGAUGCUCACGUUACUGUCUGGCCUGCCUCCCACCUGGAAGUUUGGGAAUGAGGAGAUUCAGAUAAACUUUUUAAAAUUCCAAACAUGUCUGCUUAUGGCUCUUUGGUC